AACUUUCGACAACGGAUCUCUUGGCUCUAGCAUCGAUGAAGAACGCAGCGAAAUGCGAUAAGUAAUGUGAAUUGCAGAAUUCAGUGAAUCAUCGAAUCUUUGAACGCACCUUGCACCCUUUGGUAUUCCGAAGGGUAUGCUCGUUUGAGUGUCAUUGUACUCUCACUCUCUCUGAUCCUUUGGAUUCAGGGAGUGGUGGACUUGGGUGUUUGCUGCUUCCUUGUGGCUCACCUCAAAUGCGUCAGUGCACCUCUUGAUUGGACAUAGUACGGCGUGAUAAGUAUCUUCGCCGGCACCUCGCAAAAGGGUGGCCGAUUGGGAGCUCUGUGCUUUCAAACCGUCUUCGGACAAUUUCUGACAACUUGACCUCAAAUCGAGUAGGACUACCCGCUGAACUUAAGCAUAUCAAUAAGCGGAGGCU
rnacentral:misc_RNA from 1 species